rnacentral:rRNA from 1 species
GACGAACGCUGGCGGCGUGCUUAACACAUGCAAGUCGAACGGUGAAGCGCCUUCCUUUUUGGUGGGUGUGGAUGAGUGGCGAACGGGUGAGUAACACGUGAGUAACCUGCCCCCUUCUUCUGGAUAACCGCAUGAAAGUGUGGCUAAUACGGGAUAUUCUGGGUCUGUCGCAUGAUGGGUCUGGGACAGAUAUUGUUUCGGUGGGGGAUGGGCUGGCGGCCUAUCAGCUUGUUGGUGGGGUGAUGGCCUACCAAGGCGGUGACGGGUAGCCGGCCUGGGGGGGUGGACGGUCACACUGGGAGUGAGACACGGCCGAGACUCCUACGGGAGGCAGCAGUGGGGAAUAGUGAACAAUGGGCGAAAGCCUGAUGCAGCGACGCCGCGUGAGGGAUGGAGGCCUUCGGGUUGUGAACCUCUUUCGCCAGUGAAGCAGGCCUGCCUCGUUUGUGGGUGGGUUGACGGUAGCUGGAUAAGAAGCGCCGGCUAACUACGUG